AUUGAACGCUGGCGGAAUGCUUUACACAUGCAAGUCGAACGGUAGAGGGGGCAACCCCCUUGAGAGUGGCGAACGGGUGAGUAAUAUAUCGGAACGUGCCCAGUCGUGGGGAUAACGUAGCGAAAGUUACGCUAAUACCGCAUACGAUCUAAGGAUGAAAGCGGGGGAUCGCAAGACCUCGCGCGAUUGGAGCGGCCGAUAUCAGAUUAGGUAGUUGGUGAGGUAAAGGCUCACCAAGCCAACGAUCUGUAGCUGGUCUGAGAGGACGACCAGCCACACUGGAACUGAGACACGGUCCAGACUCCUACGGGAGGCAGCAGUGGGGAAUUUUGGACAAUGGGACGCAAGUCUGAUCCAGCCAUUCCGCGUGCAGGAUGAAGGCCCUCGGGUUGUAAACUGCUUUUGUACGGAACGAAAAGGUUUGUCUUAAUACGAUGAGCUCAUGACGGUACCGUAAGAAUAAAGCACCGGCUAACUACGUGCCAGCAGCCGCGGU
rnacentral:rRNA from 1 species